CCCCUCUCAGGGUCGCAUCUGGAGAGUUUGCAGUGCUCUACCAGUCUCGGCUACGGGGGGGAGAGUCAAGCAGAGGCCUGUCCGUUCCAUUCCUACUUUGGGCAGUGAUUAGCGAACGGAAGACAAUCUGCUACAAGU
rnacentral:snoRNA from 1 species